UUGGGUCCUCAGCCCUGCCUCCCAGGAACCCUGGAGGGCCGCCCUGCUCAGGCUAUUCCUGGCAUAAGCGCAUGACAGCGGGGAAGGUACAGAUGUGGGAUUCUGGACCCUUCUGCCAACAGAAGAACCGGGCGCCAUGGAGCCUCCUCCCAGCUGCCCUGGGCACGCUGGAAAUACCUCCGCAGGCUGUUUGCUUUCCCUUCCUUUCAGCGCCCAACGUGUGUUGUUCUGUGCCCAGAGGAACCGGCUCUUCGGGUUCUGUGAGUCCAGGGGAUUGGAGCCAGUGGAGCCCCGGGGCCUGGGAGUCUAAAUUUGACCUUGAGAUUUGCUUUUUUGGGGAGUCAGGGCCAGCUGCCCACAGCAGGGUCUUAGCAUGGAGCCAGGGUUCCACGUCCCCCUCGUUCCAGCUCAGGGCGAGGUGGCAGAAGGGAAAGGAGGGAAACAGAGCGGUGGGGAGUUUCACUUCUGUUCUCUCUUUUCUGUGUGCUUCCUUGUGUUUUAAAUAAUAUUUAUGUGGCAUUUACCAGGCGGCGUGUGCAUUAUAAUUCCCUCAAUUUUACUGAUGAGGAAACCGAGGCGGAGGAGAGUGAGUAGCUGCAGAGCUGCCCUGCGGAGCCGGGCCAUCUGGCACUGGAGACAGGCUUCUAUCCUUGGAUAUAUUAAAAACAAGCAAGCGGCUGAGGCAGGCGGAUCAUGAGGUCAGGAAAUCGAGACCAUCCGGGCUAACACAGUGAAACCCCAUCUCUACUAAAAAUACAAAAAAUUAGCUGGGCCUGGUGGCACACACCUAUAGUCCCAGCUACUUGGGAGGCUAAGGCAGGAGAAUCACUUGAACCCAGGAAGCAGAGGUUGCAGUGAACCAAGAUCAUGCCACUAAACUCCAGCCUGGGCAACAGAGUGAGACUCCGUCUCAAAUAACAGAAAACAAGCAGGUGCAGGUGCUUAUGCCUGUAGUCCCAGCUAUUUGGGAGGCUGAGAUGGAAGGAUCGCUUGAACCCAGGAGUUAGAGCAGCCUGGGCAACAUAGCAAGACCCUGUCUUAAAAAGAAAAAAAAAA
rnacentral:lncRNA from 1 species